AGGCCUAACACAUGCAAGUCGAGCGGUAGCACAGAGAGCUUGCUCUCGGGUGACGAGCGGCGGACGGGUGAGUAAUGUCUGGGAAACUGCCUGAUGGAGGGGGAUAACUACUGGAAACGGUAGCUAAUACCGCAUAACGUCGCAAGACCAAAGUGGGGGACCUUCGGGCCUCAUGCCAUCAGAUGUGCCCAGAUGGGAUUAGCUAGUAGGUGGGGUAAUGGCUCACCUAGGCGACGAUCCCUAGCUGGUCUGAGAGGAUGACCAGCCACACUGGAACUGAGACACGGUCCAGACUCCUACGGGAGGCAGCAGUGGGGAAUAUUGCACAAUGGGCGCAAGCCUGAUGCAGCCAUGCCGCGUGUAUGAAGAAGGCCUUCGGGUUGUAAAGUACUUUCAGCGAGGAGGAAGGCAUUAAGGUUAAUAACCUUAGUGAUUGACGUUACUCGCAGAAGAAGCACCGGCUAACUCCGUGCCAGCAGCCGCGGUAAUACGGAGGGUGCAAGCGUUAAUCGGAAUUACUGGGCGUAAAGCGCACGCAGGCGGUCUGUUAAGUCAGAUGUGAAAUCCCCGGGCUCAACCUGGGAACUGCAUUUGAAACUGGCAGGCUUGAGUCUUGUAGAGGGGGGUAGAAUUCCAGGUGUAGCGGUGAAAUGCGUAGAGAUCUGGAGGAAUACCGGUGGCGAAGGCGGCCCCCUGGAC
rnacentral:rRNA from 1 species